AUUGAACGCUGGCGGCAUGCCUUACACAUGCAAGUCGAACGGUAACGGGCCUUCGGGUGCCGACGAGUGGCGAACGGGUGAGUAAUACAUCGGAACGUGCCCGAUCGUGGGGGAUAACGAGGCGAAAGCUUUGCUAAUACCGCAUACGAUCUACGGAUGAAAGCAGGGGACCGCAAGGCCUUGCGCGGACGGAGCGGCCGAUGGCAGAUUAGGUAGUUGGUGGGAUAAAAGCUUAUCAAGCCGACGAUCUGUAGCUGGUCUGAGAGGAUGAUCAGCCACACUGGGACUGAGACACGGCCCAGACUCCUACGGGAGGCAGCAGUGGGGAAUUUUGGACAAUGGGCGCAAGCCUGAUCCAGCCAUGCCGCGUGCAGGAUGAAGGCCUUCGGGUUGUAAACUGCUUUUGUACGGAACGAAAAGCCUUCUUUUAAUACAGGAGGGUCAUGACGGUACCGUAAGAAUAAGCACCGGCUAACUACGUG
rnacentral:rRNA from 1 species